AUGUAGAGCGAUCUGUCUUUAAGCAGAGAUAAAUUACUCUAAAAGAAAUGAAUCCUGGAUAGUUUUCUCUACUAGUCAAGCAUCUUGU
rnacentral:pre_miRNA from 8 species